ACAAACUAGAGAGAACUGCAAGGACUCAGUACAUCCCUGGCACAGUCCAUUCUCUCUCACAGCAUAUUGUAUGAGACUGUGUGAGUGCUGCUUCCACGCUACACUAAAAACCCAUGGUCCCUGCAUUAUUUGAGCAACUGACAAGCUUCUGAAGUUCAGGUUCGCGAACGCUGAGAGCAGCACCCAGUGGAUUUGUGGCAGGGAGGAAAACUCGUAGGACCUCCUAGGAUGCAUCUUGGCUCCAAGUUCGUGCAGUGUUAUUAGGAAAUUACAAGUCUAAGCAGCCGCAAAGAGACCGUUAAAUCACAUCACCUGCAGGUUUUUGAUGAACCAAGCUGGCUGGUGUCGCCUCAGUUUGUCUAAAUUACCAAGGACCGCUGGAAUUUCCCUGGGAAUAUGUUUCGGGAAAGGUCAGAAACUCUUCAGUCGUCUUCACGCUUCCACUCAGUAGCAACGUUUUUGCACACUCAUUGACUAUCAACUGGUUGUCUAUGACUCAAAUUACAUAAUGAAUCCAGCACAUAAAUUAUUUACUCAGAUUUAAUGCCAGCAACUGUUAUCUUUGUAUUUUUUUCCCCUCUGCCAGCUAAUCUGGCUCAUUUCAUUGGAAUUUUGGUCAUGCCCAUUCUCCUUCUGCACUAAAUUAACUCCAUAACGUAGUAUAAACAGAACAAGCUUGUGUGUGAUAUGCUUAACUGUUAAUUUACCUAAUUAAACUAAUUCAAUUAAAUCAUUUACAUCUUUUUGGUAACAUGCCAGUUGAUACCACAGCAGAAGUGGGAUGUUUCAGAAGAUGAUUGUUCAGCAAAUGAAUGGAAAAAAAAAUAAAAGGAAAACAAAAUGAGACAACCGUCCAAAUCUCUUGGCUUGAAAAUUAAAUGAUACUGAAA
rnacentral:lncRNA from 1 species